CUACGGGUUGCUCCAGUGGGGAAUAUUGCACAAUGGGGGAAACCCUGAUGCAGCAACGCCGCGUGGAGGAUGACACAUUUCGGUGCGUAAACUCCUUUUAUAGGUCAAGAUAAUGACGGUAGCCUAUGAAUAAGCGCCGGCUAACUCCGUGCCAGCAGCCGCGGUAAUACGGAGGGCGCAAGCGUUACUCGGAAUCACUGGGCGUAAAGAGGAUGUAGGCGGGUUAAUAAGUCAGAAGUGAAAUCCAAUAGCUCAACUAUUGAACUGCUUUUGAAACUGUUAACCUAGAGUGUGGGAGAGGUAGAUGGAAUUUCUGGUGUAGGGGUAAAAUCCGUAGAGAUCAGAAGGAAUACCGAUUGCGAAGGCGAUCUACUGGAACAUUACUGACGCUGAGAUGCGAAAGCGUGGGGAGCAAACAGGAUUAGAUACCCCAGUAGUC
rnacentral:rRNA from 1 species